rnacentral:rRNA from 1 species
CAGUCGCCGCGGGAAUACGUAGGUGGCAAGCGUUGUCCGGAAUUAUUGGGCGUAAAGGGCUCGCAGGCGGUUUCUUAAGUCUGAUGUGAAAGCCCCCGGCUCAACCGGGGAGGGUCAUUGGAAACUGGGAAACUUGAGUGCAGAAGAGGAGAGUGGAAUUCCACGUGUAGCGGUGAAAUGCGUAGAGAUGUGGAGGAACAUCAGUGGCGAAGGCGACUCUCUGGUCUGUAACUGACGCUGAGGAGCGAAAGCGUGGGGAGCGAACAGGAUUAGAUACCCCAGUAGUCCCUGUCUCUUAUAA